rnacentral:tRNA from 1 species
AAGAAAAUGGCAGAGCGGUAAUGCGAUUGAUUUGAAAUCAGUUUAUGGGGGUUCGACUCCUUCUUUUCUCG